AAAAUGGGGAGACCACUCUCCAAGGCUAAGUACUACUGAUUGACCGAUAGUGAACAAGUACCGUGAGGGAAAGGUGAAAAGCACCCCUAUAAGGGGAGUGAAAGAGAACCUGAAACCGGAUGCCUACAAGCAGUCGGAGGGUCAUAAGGCCUGACGGCGUACCUUUUGUAUAAUGGGUCAGCGACUUAAUUUAUGUAGCAAGCUUAAGCCGAUAGGUGUAGGCGUAGAGAAAUCGAGUGUUAACAGCGCGUUAAGUUACAUGAAUUAGACCCGAAACCGAGUGAUCUAGCCAUGAUCAGGUUGAAGGUUGGGUAACACCAACUGGAGGACCGAACCCACUCCCGUUGAAAAGGUAGGGGAUGAAUUGUGGCUAGGGGUGAAAGGCCAAUCAAACUCGGAAAUAGCUGGUUCUCCGCGAAAACUAUUUAGGUAGUGCGGUGAGCGGACACCUUGAGGGGUAGAGCACUGGAAGAGCUAAGGGGGAGCGAUCCUUACUAAACUUUACCAAACUCCGAAUACUCAAGAGUGAUACUCACCAGACAGACAUUAGGUGCUAAGGUCUAGUGUCGAGAGGGAAAGAGCCCAGACCGCCAAUUAAGGUCCCAAAAUUAUGGCUAAGUGGUAAAGGAAGUGAAACGUCCAAAACAGUCAGGAGGUUGGCUUAGAAGCAGCCAUCCUUUAAAGAAAGCGUAAUAGCUCACUGAUCUAAACAAGACGUCUUGCGCCGAAGAUGUAACGGGGCUAAAGCCAUAUACCGAAGUUGCGGAUUUACACGUUAAAGUGUAAGUGGUAGCGGAGCGUUCUGUAAGCCUGCGAAGGUGUACCGUAAGGUAUGCUGGAGGUAUCAGAAGUGAGAAUGCUGACAUGAGUAGCGAAAAGAAGAGUGAGAGACUCUUCCGCUGAAAGUCCAAGGUUUCCUGCGUAAAGCUAAUCUGCGCAGGGUUAGUCGGUCCCUAAGGCGAGGCAGAGAUGCGUAGUCGAUGGCAAUCAGGUUAAUAUUCCUGAACCGGCCCGGAAGUGACGGAUUGAGUAAAUUGUAAGUUCUUAUUGGAUUGAGCUUGCAGUGAAUCAGUCCCAGGAAAUAGCCCGGGCUAAGACCGUACCCGAAACCGACACAGGUGGACAGGUAGAGAAUACCAAAGCGCUUGAGAGAACUAUGUUGAAGGAACUAGGCAAAAUACUUGCGUAACUUCGGGAUAAGCAAGCCCCAUUUUAAGGCAACUUAGGGUGGGGGGCACAUACUAGGGGGUAGCGACUGUUUACUAAAAACACAGGGCUCUGCUAAAUUGAAAGAUGAAGUAUAGGGUCUGACGCCUGCCCGGUGCUGGAAGGUUAAGGAGAGAUGUGCAAGCAUUGAACUGAAGCCCCAGUAAACGGCGGCCGUAACUAUAACGGUCCUAAGGUAGCGAAAUUCCUUGUCGGGUAAGUUCCGACCUGCACGAAUGGCGUAACGACUUCCCCGCUGUCUCCAACAUAGGCUCAGCGAAAUUGAACUCUGAGUUAAGAUGCUCAGUACCCGCGGUUAGACGGAGAGACCCCGUGAACCUUUACUAUAGCUUUGCAGUGGUAUUAGGUAACAAAUGUGUAGAAUAGGUGGGAUGCUAUGAAGCUACGACGCCAGUUGUAGUGGAGCAGACUUUGAAAUACCACCCUUUUGUUGUUUGAUAUCUAACCUGCUCCCGUUAUCCGGGAGAGGGACCCUGCAUGGUGGGUAGUUUGACUGGGGCGGUCGCCUCCCAAAGAGUAACGGAGGCGCGCAAAGGUUGGCUCAGAUUGGUCAGAAAUCAAUCGUCGAGUGCAAUGGCAUAAGCCAGCCUGACUGCGAGAGAGACAUUUCGAGCAGAUACGAAAGUAGGUCAUAGUGAUCCGGUGGUCCCGAGUGGAAGGGCCAUCGCUCAACGGAUAAAAGGUACUCCGGGGAUAACAGGCUGAUUCCGCCCAAGAGUUCACAUCGACGGCGGAGUUUGGCACCUCGAUGUCGGCUCAUCACAUCCUGGGGCUGGAGAAGGUCCCAAGGGUUCGGCUGUUCGCCGAUUAAAGU
rnacentral:rRNA from 1 species